CACACACACACACAGAUGUACACACAGACACACUAACAUUUGGUUCUAAACAAUGACACACACUAAUAUUUAGCUGUACACAAAUACAUAAUAACAAUUAGAUGUACACACAGACACACUAACAAUGACAUCUACACACAGACACACUAUCAUUUGGUUCUAAACAACGACACACACUAAUAUUUAGUUGUACACAAAGACACACACUAACAUUUAGAUGUACACAAAGACACAUUAAUAUUUAGAUGUACACACAGACACACUAACAAUUAGAUGUACACACAUACACACUAACAUUUGGUUCUAAACAAAGACAAACACUAAUAUUAAGAUGUACACAAAGACAAUAACAAUUAGAUAUGUACUCACAGACACACUAACAUUUGGUUCUAAACAAAGACACACAUUUAACAUUUAGAUAUGUACACAAAGACACAUUAAUAUUUAGAUGUACACACAGACACACUAACAAUUAGAUCCACACACAGACACACUAACAAUUAGAUGUACACACAGACACACUAACAUUUGGUUCUAAACAAAGACACACACUAAUAUUUAGAUGUACACAAAGACACAUUAAUAUUUAGAUGUACACACAGACACACUAACAUUUAUAUGUACACACAGACACACUAACAAUUAGAUGUACACACAGACACACUAACAAUUAGAUGUACACACAGACACACUAACAAUUAGAUGUACACACAGACACAUCCUGAUGAUCCUCCUCACGUCUCUUCUCCUUGUCUGCAGACCAACAGGACGCCAUCAGGACGCCACGUCAUCGGGAUGCCAUCAGGACGCCAUCAGGACACCACGUCAUCGGGACACUACGUCAUCGGGACACACUAACAAUUAGAUGUACACACAGACACACUAACAAUUAGAUGUACACACAGACACACUAACAUUUGGUUCUAAACAAAGACACACACUAACAUUUAGAUGUACACAAAGACACACACUAAUAUUUAGAUGUACACACAGACACACUAACAAUUAGAUGUACACACAGACACACUAACAUUUGGUUCUAAACAAAGACACACACUAACAUUUAGAUGUACACAAAGACACACACUAAUAUUUAGAUGUACACAAAGACAUUAAUAUUUAGAUGUACACACAGACACACUAACAUUUGGUACUAAACAAAGACACACACUAAUAUUUAGAUGUACACAAAGACAUAUUAAU
ensembl:lncRNA